rnacentral:rRNA from 1 species
GGAUUGGUGCCUUCGGGAACUCUGACACAGGUGCUGCAUGGCUGUCGUCAACUCGUGUCGUGAGAUGUUGGGUUAAGUCCCGUAACGAGCGCAACCCUUGUCCUUAGUUACCAGCACGUUAUGGUGGGCACUCUAAGGAGACUGCCGGUGACAAACCGGAGGAAGGUGGGGAUGACGUCAAGUCAUCAUGGCCCUUACGGCCUGGGCUACACACGUGCUACAAUGGUCGGUACAAAGGGUUGCCAAGCCGCGAGGUGGAGCUAAUCCCAUAAAACCGAUCGUAGUCCGGAUCGCAGUCUGCAACUCGACUGCGUGAAGUCGGAAUCGCUAGUAAUCGUGAAUCAGAAUGUCACGGUGAAUACGUUCCCGGGCCUU